rnacentral:rRNA from 1 species
CCUGAGAAACGGCUACCACAUCUAAGGAAGGCAGCAGGCACGUAAAUUACCCAAUCCCAGCACGGGGAGGUAGUGACGAAAAAUAACAAUCCGGAACUCAAACGAGUUUCCGAAAUUGGAAUGAGUACAAUUUAAAAACUUUAACGAGGAGCAAAUGGAGGGCAAGUCUGGUGCCAGCAGCCGCGGUAAUUCCAGCUCCAUUAGUAUAUAUUAAAGUUGUUGCGGUUAAAAAGCUCGUAGUCGAUUUUGUAUCUCGUACUUUCGAAUUCCCGCGAUUUUAUUCGUGUGGUUUUUGUUAUUUAAUUGUACGAGAUAUAUAGACUGGUGGAUGUUUAGAAAUCGUUUGCUUAUAGACGACGGACAUCUGUUCGCGCUAUUCAUCGAUUUCGAUAUUCAAUACGAUGGGUUUAGGAUUUAAUUUCGCAGCAGUGUAAAAUGUUUCAAUUACGUUACUAUUUUCGCUGUUUGUGAAAUGCUUAAAUUCGAUUGUAUUCUAAACUAUGAAGAAAGCGUUGCGGUCAGAGAUGCAAUUUCGUAAAAAGAAUUCGGUUGUCGCGCUCGUUUUCGGCUUGUCGGGCCGGCGAAAUUACUUUGAACAAAUUAGAGUGCUUAAAGCAGGCAAAUUUAUAUGCCUUGAAUAUCGCAGCAUGGAAUAAUAGAAUAUGAUCUCGGUACCGUUUUGUUUGAAAUUGGCUUAAAGGGCUAGAUAAAACGGAAACGGUUCGGAUGCUCGGGCACGGUACCGGGCACAUCGACGCCUAGUGUGCACUCCGUCGACGCAUAACGGAACGCGUGUGCAAUUCGUAUCUACGUACGCCUAGUGCUGCGAAUACGAGCGCUCACGUGCCGGUCCGAAUGCGAGCACCGGCGUCACUAAAAUGGUGUGCAUCGUUUAGUAUCGUGUGUGCCCGAUGCAACUCGAAUUAUUUAGCUCGACGGUAUAUCGAGAUAAUGAUUAAUAGAGACGGAUGGGGGCAUUCGUACUACGACGCUAGAGGUGAAAUUCUUGGACCGUCGUAAGACGAACUGAAGCGAAAGCGUUUGUCAAAAACGUUUUCAUUGAUCAAGAACGAAAGUUAGAGGUUCGAAGGCGAUCAGAUACCGCCCUAGUUCUAACCAUAAACGAUGCCGACCAGCGAUCCGYCGAUGUUCAUUUAAAUUGACUCGACGGGCAGCUUCCGGGAAACCAAAGUUUUUGGGUUCCGGGGGAAGUAUGGUUGCAAAGCUGAAACUUAAAGGAAUUGACGGAAGGGUACCACCAGGAGUGGAGCUUGCGGCUUAAUUUGACUCAACACGGGAAACCUCACCAGGUCAGGACACUGAUAGGAUUGACAGAUUGAUAGCUCUUUCUUGAUUCAGUGGGUGGUGGUGCAUGGCCGUUCUUAGUUGGUGGAGCGAUUUGUCUGGUUAAUUCCGAUAACGAACGAGACUC